UGGGGAAUAUUGCACAAUGGAGGGAACUCUGAUGCAGCGACGCCGCGUGAACGAAGAAGGCUUUCGAGUCGUAAAGUUCUUUUAUAUGGGAAGAUAAUGACGGUACCAUAAGAAAAAGCCCCGGCUAACUACGUGCCAGCAGCCGCGGUAAUACGUAGGGGGCUAGCGUUGUCCGGAAUCACUGGGCGUAAAGGGUUCGCAGGCGGAAAUGCAAGUCAGGUGUAAAAGGCAGUAGCUUAACUACUGUAAGCAUUUGAAACUGCAUAUCUUGAGAAGAGUAGAGGUAAGUGGAAUUUUUAGUGAAGCGGUGAAAUGCGUAGAUAUUAAAAAGAAUACCGGUGGCGAAGGCGACUUACUGGGCUCAUUCUGACGCUGAGGAACGAAAGCGUGGGUAGCAAACAGG
rnacentral:rRNA from 2 species